rnacentral:rRNA from 1 species
GACGAACGCUGGCGGCGUGCCUAAUACAUGCAAGUAGGACGCAGUUGCGAACGGGUGAGUAACGCGUAGGUAACUACCUAUUAGAGGGGGAUAACUAUUGGAAACGAUAGCUAAUACCGCAUACUAGUAGAUGGACCUGCGUUGUAUUAGCUAGUAGGUAGGGUAAUGGCCUACCUAGGCAACGAUACAUAGCCGACCCGGGAGGGUGGUCGGCCAAACGUGGACUUGGACACCGCCCAGACUCCUACGGGAGGGAGCAGGAGGGAAACUUCGGCAAAGGGGGGAAACCUGACCGAGCAACGCCGCGUGAGUGAAGAAGGUUUUCGGAUCGGAAAGCUCUGUUGGUAAGGAAGCGGUACUUAACCAGAAAGGGACGGCUAACUACGUGCCAGCAGCCGCGGUAAUAC